UAUAACGGAAAACACAUCUAGAAUGAGCAGUUUAGAAGGUUUACCGCAACAGUUUGUCUCACGAAAUCGCGCUCUGCGUGCUAAUCACGAUAAUUUUUACAAAGGCUAACAAUCAUUUUCCUACUCUACCCAAAGCUGACUGCUGCUUCUGUGUCUGCAACUGCAAGGAAAGCGCAGAAAAGGAGGGAAGGCUGCUUUUUUGGAUGCCGUUUCAGUUAAAAUAAACCGUCAUGAAAGGCUGCACAGUCACUGUCGUACUCUUCACUCUUACGCACGUUGCUGUAGAUGGUGGUGUCCUUACAAAUAUAUUGACCGGGUCAUCAGUGCUCCAGAGAAUUCCAAAAGUUCCAAAAGUUCCAAAAUUGCCAAAAUUGCCAAAAUUGCCAAAUAUGCCCAAAAUGCCAAAACUACCAAAACUUCCAAAAGGGGUGCGCAACGUUGGUGGAGCGGCCAAACAACAAAAGAUUGACCCGCACAUAGACCAUAAAAUUGAUGUCUUCUUGGAUUUGGCUCCCAGCCCCGAAGAAGCAGUCCAAGACACUGGAUACAACGGAACUGGCAUCUCCGGUCACCCAAGGUACAAGGAAAGUGCAGUAAUACAAGUAUGGUGUGGUAAAUGCAUCUGCAAACUUCUUGUGAUGAUAGACCAAUAUGGAGCAGAAAUGGGCUGCACUCAAGAGGUGGACAAAUUAUUUUGUACUUGCCCACCUGCAAGCUGCUAUAUGACCCAAAUUACGAAGUGUCUAGAAAAGUGGGCCGCCGGAAAGUGCAAGUAUGAAAUGUCGUUGUUCACUUGCCCCUGACUUCGCAAUAAAGGCCUCAUUAUCAAACUUCGCC